rnacentral:rRNA from 1 species
CCUACGGGAGGCAGCAGUGGGGAAUUUUGGACAAUGGGGGCAACCCUGAUCCAGCCAUUCCGCGUGUGCGAUGAAGGCCUUCGGGUUGUAAAGCACUUUUGGCAGGAAAGAAAUCGCACGGGUUAAUAACCCGUGUGGAUGACGGUACCUGCAGAAUAAGCACCGGCUAACUACGUGCCAGCAGCCGCGGUAAUACGUAGGGUGCAAGCGUUAAUCGGAAUUACUGGGCGUAAAGCGUGCGCAGGCGGUUCGGAAAGAAAGGUGUGAAAUCCCAGGGCUUAACCUUGGAACUGCACUUUUAACUCCCGAGCUAGAGUAUGUCAGAGGGGGGUGGAAUUCCGCGUGUAGCAGUGAAAUGCGUAGAUAUGCGGAGGAACACCAAUGGCGAAGGCAGCCCCCUGGGAUGAUACUGACGCUCAUGCACGAAAGCGUGGGGAGCAAACAGGAUUAGAUACCCUGGUAGUCCACGCCCUAAACGAUGUCAACUAGCUGUUGGGGGCUUCGGGCCCUUAGUAGCGCAGCUACGCGUGAGUAGACCGCCGUGGGAGGUACGGUCGCGAGAAGUUAAACGUACGAAAGAAGUAGUUACGGCGUGAGACGNGCCGACGGACGACGACGAGGGAGGAGG